UACGUAGGGUGCAAGCGUUGCCCGGAUUUAUUGGGCGUAAAGGGCGCGUAGGCGGCUCGGCACGUCCGUUGUGAAAAUCCGGCCCGGCUCCAACGUGGGCGGGGUCGGCCGGUAUACGGCCGAGCUGGAGCAAGCUAGGGGGUAAUGGGAAUUCCCGGUGUAGUGGUGGAAUGACGUAGAUAUCGGGAGGAACACCAGUGGCGAAGGC
rnacentral:rRNA from 1 species